ACUAACUUUUUUCUUAUUUUUUGUAGAGGCAGGGUCUUACCAUGUAGCCCAAGCUAGUCUGCCUAAUUUCUAACCAGCCAAGCUAUGCUCAGUAUGUUCCUUUAGGGAAGUGAUCUGAAGUUCAAGUAAGUUUUUCUUGAAAACCCAUGGAAAUUGGGCACUGUGGCUCACGCCUGUAAUCUCAGGACUAUAAGCCUGGAACUGCCCACCCUGCCGUGUACUUGCAGGAAUACAAGAAAGCAGGUCACCUUUCAAUAAAACCUGGCUUUAUGGAUUAUGCAUGAAGUCAGUCUCUUCCUGGUACUUUUCUUUC
rnacentral:lncRNA from 1 species